rnacentral:rRNA from 1 species
GAUUAACGCUGGCGGCGUGCCUAACACAUGCAAGUCGAACGAUGAAACUUAGUAGGCUUCUUCGGAAUGACAUUAAGCGGAUUAGUGGCGAACGGGUGAGUACCGCGUGAGUAACCUGCCUUACCUUAGGGGAUCGCCUUUGGAAACGAAGUAUUAUAUUCUAUAACACCAUAAAAGCACAUGCUAGAAUGGUCAAAGUGCUAGCGGUGUAAGCUGGACUUGCGUCUGAUUAGCUAGUUGGUGGGAUAAAAGCUCACCAAGGUAACGAUCAGUAACCGGAUUGAGGAAGUGGACGAGCACAUUGGGAGAGGGACACGGCCCAGACUCCUACGGGAGGCAGCAGGGGUGAAGUUGGCACAAUGGGGGAAAGACGAAUGCAGCGACGCCGCGAGAUUUAGAAGGCCGGCAGGUAGAAAAAAUCUUUUGUAUAGGAAGAAAAUGACAGUACUAAACGAAUAAGGUCCGGCUAAUUACGUG